UUUUACAAUUAUAUAUUGCUUUUAAUUUAGAGAAGUAUUACUAUCAUUUAAGUUAUUACUUUUAAUUGAUAAGCAUGUUAAUUAUCAAUAUUAAAGUGAUCAUCAUCAUCAUUACUAUUAUUUUUAUUUUUAUUGCGUGUGCAUUUAACUAUUAUUGCCUUUUAAUUUAGAGAAGUAUCAGUUCUUGGAGCAUUAGUAAUAUGACUUGAUUAAUUGAUAUGGUUGCUUAUGCAGCUGAUAGAGAGUGGAGAAAAAGAACGGUUGAAGGAGCUUUUGAGGGAAAGACUUAUCGAAUGCGGUUGGAGAGAUGAAAUGAAAGCUCUUUGCAGGUUUUUGAUUAAUUUUUUCUGCAGUUUGCGUUUGAUAAUAUAGUUGGUUUAAUUUGAAGAACUGCUUUAUUGGAAGGAAUGUUUAGGUUUGAGUUCUUCAAAUUAUUGAGAUUAAUUAAAACUUUGUACAGAACUUUUUUUUUUUGAAUUGAUCCUUAUAACUCAUCCAUGUUGGGAAUUUUGAUGAAAGCUUGAUGAAUUUGUGAAUAAUUGAUUCAAAAUCAGUUAUGCCAAUAUAUAGUGAAUACCAAUUUAUGGACUUAAGAAAAAUUUAGUGGAGAGUUCGAAUGCUCAGAUACAUAAUAUAUCAUUCUUUUAAUUUGAAUUAUGUAUGCUUUUGAUUAGUAUUAAGAUAAAAAAUAAUAAUAAUAAAUUGGAGUUUUUGACAAAUCAAAGAGAAGGUACUGUUUGGAUGGAGUAACGGGUUAUGAUGAAUCUUAUUUGGUCAGCAUGCACAAUGUGUCUUGCUCCCCAUUUUAUGGGGUAUAGUCCUCACAAGAUUUGCUUGACUCUAUCCAAGCUCAUAAUGCCUUGAUUACUUGGAAAACCUGUCUGCAAUUUUUUUACAAGGGCACAUGCAAGGAAUAAGGGAAGAAAAAGUGUAAGUGUGGAUGACCUUGUUCAUGUCAUUACCCCAAAGGGAAGAGGUAGUUUCGUUCACUUAGUUAUGAAUUCAUCACACACUUAUUGAUCUAUUGUUUAAAUUUCUCAACUUUAUUUAGAAUUCAUAUUUACAACGGUACUUGUGUUGUUGCAACAUCUCUUCUUUUUGACAGAUCUCAAUGUUGGAACAGGUUUAUUAUAAAUAGUAUUUCAUAUUUUUUAUAAUCUGUAAUAAUUGAUAUGCUCUUAAAAUAAGUAAAUACAAAAUUUGAUUGGUACAUUUUUACAUUGACAAUUUUUGCCAAGGGAGUGUUAAAUGGUUGUUUACAUAGGGCUGUGUUUUUAGGGUCUGAGAGCAAUCACCUUAUGCGCUUGCCGAUAAUCAACUCUCCCACUAUGUUAUACAGAUUAAAAGAUUUAUUCUCGUGGCAACGCUUGGAGAAGAUGAAUGCUUUUAUAACCAUAACAUAUGGUGCUUAAUUGAUUGAACUUGCAUGUUUUGCAUCUUGUCAUUACCAGUUUAGAUAGUGAAUGGACAUAGCUUUUUUCUAAAAUGUUUUUGUUAAUUUUAUUAAUUGAUUUUGUUUCUCUUUAAUCAGAGAAAUAUUUUUCUUAAUAUAUACCGGAAAUCAUACUCACUAUGAGAGAGUUGAGAAGUGGUGACUGUCAAAAGAAAUGCUGCUUUUGUGUUGGCCACAAAGGCUUUAAAAAGAAAUGCUUCAUUCUACAUAUUGAGUUGCAACCUACUAAGGAUGCGUGCAUGUAAAUAAAACUUGGAUGAAGAAUCUGAAAGAGUUGUCUCACGUAAUUAUAGUUCUUUUUCUAGCUAAAAUGUAGAAUAUUUUUCUUUGUAUCACACACAAUCUCAUGCUACAUUUUACUCGCAUUGUUUCUAAUCACCCUAGUACAUAAAUUAGAUUCUUAACCCAUCACUUCGUGACAUGUCAGACAUUUGGCUGCUGCCUGCUACCAUUACAUGAUGGUGAAAUCAUGUAUAUGAGAGCUAAAUUUGAAAGAAUUUUAGGGUCUAGAGAUCCAGAGGCAUUUUACAUGAUGAAUCCUGAUAAUAAUGGGGCUCCUGAACCUAAUGUUUACGAGUCUAAAGUAGCAGAUCUGAUAUUACAUCUUCUGUUCCUGAUAAGGUAAAAGCAGAGCUGCUGCAGCGAAUCCGUUCAUUUCUUUCAUCAACUGCCCUUUGAUGUGAUAGGGAACCUCUACCAUAUGGCGGUGGAUAAAAAAUGAG